rnacentral:tRNA from 1 species
GCUCUGGUGGCUCAAUCGGAUAGAGCGUUGGACUUCUAAUCCAAAGGUUCCGGGUUCAAGUCCCGCCCAGAGUA